GUAGUCCACGCCGUAAACGAUGGAUACUUGAUGUUAGUGGUAUUGACCCCACUAGUGUCGGAGCUAACGCGUUAAGUAUCCCGCCUGGGGAGUACGGUCGCAAGAUUAAAACUCAAAGAAAUUGACGGGGGCCCGCACAAGCGGUGGAGCAUGUGGUUUAAUUCGAUGCAACGCGAAGAACCUUACCCGGGCUUGACAUGUACUGGAAGACUAGCGGAGACGCUGUCGCUCGCAAGAGUCGGUACACAGGUGCUGCAUGGCUGUCGUCAGCUCGUGUCGUGAGAUGUUGGGUUAAGUCCCGCAACGAGCGCAACCCUUACCUUUAGUUGCCAGCAUUUAGUUGGGCACUCUAAAGGGACUGCCUGCGUUAAGCAGGA
rnacentral:rRNA from 1 species